CAAUGAAGGAGCUUAUAAAGCUUCAGAGUAUACUUAUUCACUCGGAUAUUAAGUCUCUUUCAGAAAGGAGUAAUAGUGAGGCACUGUGACUUCCAUUUUAAAGACCAUGUGGCAAGGUGAUGGGAGAGAGUGUUUCUGACAUUCGGAGGAAAGCUGACUGCUGCUUUUAUUUAUCUAUAGGAGAGGUGGGUGACACCGUUUUCAGAAAAUACCAUACAGAUCUCGUUUCUUUCCAUGAUGGUCUCGAACACAGGAGUUUGGAGCUGCAGUGUUGAGAAUUGUCACAGGCAGCCAGUGGAAACCUGAACUUCUUGCCACUAAGAGAUCUUGCACUGCUAAGUUCCUUCUGAAGUCAGCAAGUCUGCCUAAAUAAAGAACAACUAAGAGCUAUGUAAAUGCCUUAG
rnacentral:lncRNA from 1 species